rnacentral:rRNA from 1 species
GGGCCCGCACAAGCGGAGGAACAUGUGGUUUAAUUCGAUGAUACGCGAGGAACCUUACCUGGGCUUAAAUGGGAGCAGACGGAUUUGGAAACAGGUCUUUCUUCGGACUGCUUUCAAGGUGCUGCAUGGUUGUCGUCAGCUCGUGCCGUGAGGUGUCGGGUUAAGUCCCAUAACGAGCGCAACCCCUACCGAUAGUUACCAUCAGGUCAAGCUGGGGACUCUAUCGGGACUGCCACCGUAAGGUGCGAGGAAGGCGGGGAUGACGUCAAAUCAGCACGGCCCUUAUGUCCAGGGCUACACACGUGUUACAAUGGCCGGUACAGAGGGCAGCUACCCUGCGAGGGGAUGCUAAUCUUAUAAAUCCGGUCUCAGUUCGGAUCGAAGUCUGCAACCCGACUUCGUGAAGCUGGAUUCGCUAGUAAUCGCGCAUCAGCCAUGGCGCGGUGAAUACGUUCCCGGGCCUU